AGAGUACUGGGGGGUACUGGAGUGGUACUGGGGGGUACUGGGAGAGUAGUGGGAGAUACUAGGGGGUACUGGAGUGGUACUGGGGGAUACUGGGAGAGAACUGGGGGGUACUGGGGGGGGCCUGGGGGGUACUGGAGUGGUACUGGGAGAUACUGGGGUGGGACUGGGGAGUACUGGGAGAUUACUGGGAGAUACUGGGGGGUACUGGGAGAGUACUGGGGGGUACUGGAGUGGUACUGGGGGAUACUGGGAGAUACUGGGGGAUACUGGGGGAUACUGGGGUGAUGUCAAAGGGAUACUGGCGAAUGUUGGGAGAUACUGGGGGAUACUGGGAGGCACUGGGAUGCCNNNNNNNNNNGGGGGAUACUGGGGGGUACUGGGGGUGUACUGGGGGAUACUGGGAGAGUACUGGGGGGUACUGGGGGAUACUGGGAGAUACUGGGGGAUACUGGGGGAUACUGGGGUGAUGUCAAAGGGAUACUGGCGAAUGUUGGGAGAUACUGGGGGAUACUGGGAGGCACUGGGAUGCCACUGGGUGCCAUUAGGGUCCCAUUGGGUGCCCCUGGGCGAUACUGGGUGAUACUGGGAGCUACUGGGGUGGCGUUAUGGUGGCUCUAGGGUGUUACUGGGAGUUACUGGGGUGUUACUGGGAGGCACUGGGAUGCCACCGGGUGCCAUUAAGGUCCCAUUGGUUGCCCCUGGGCGAUACUGGGCGAUACUGGGAGCUACUGGGCUGCCGUUCUGGUGGCACUGGGAGGCACUGGGGUGGUACUGGUUGUUACUGGUUCAUACUGGGAGCCAACUGGUGUCCCCAGAGCGCGGUGGCGGUGGCGGGCGGGGCCACGCGGGCGGCCGUGGCCGUGCACCAGGCCCGCAGGGAGAACGCGGCCGAGGUGAGCGCCAAGGACGGCAGCCAGGUGAGACUGGUUUGGACUGGGACAAACUGGGAGCACUGGGAGNNNNNNNNNNGCCAUACUGGGAGGGUUCUGAGGGCAACUGGGGGGGGCUGGGAGGGGACUGGGACACACUGGAAUGUAUUGGGAGGUGCUGUGGGGGGACACUGGGCUAUACUGGGGGGCACUGGGCCAUACUGGGGGGCACUGGGCCCGGCUCCUUCCACGCAUGCGCAGAGCGGCGGCUCCUCGGCGCGCAAAAUGGCGCCGGGGGAACCCAAUGGCGGCCCCCAGCGCGGCUUCACGAGCGGGCAGCGCGCAUGCGCAGAGCAGGGCAGGGAGGGGGCGAGACAAAAUGGCCGCGCGCCCCCGUCACGUGCCGCCAAGAAGAUGGCGGCGCCCAGGUGCGCCUCAAAAGGGGGCGGGGCUUGGGAGGGAGCGCGCGCGGCGCGGCGGCCAAUGAGAGGCGGCGAAAGCGCUGCCGCGUGACGUCACAACAGGAGCGGCUCGCAGAGCGCAUGCGCGGCCCUCUCGGUGCGCAUGCGCCCUGCGGCGCCGCCAUAUUCGGGGCCAGCCGCGGCCGGGACCGGGCACCGGGGGGCCGGGGGCUGCCGGGACCGUCGGGCUCGGCGCCUCCCGGGCCUCACUUCCGCCCCCGGGGGCCUUCCUAGGGAGCGCCCCCCGAGGAACCAUAGAGUCGCGGAGCCGCGGGGGUCCUCCCGCUGUGCUGGAGGCGUCGCGGCCUAGCCGCCCUUCCCCCUCCCCCACCUCCCCCCCGCCGUCUUGACGUCACUUCCGGCUGGC
rnacentral:lncRNA from 1 species